rnacentral:lncRNA from 1 species
UCCAUCCAACCAUUCAAAAUUUUAAUUUUACUGUGCAACCUUUCAAAUUAUUUGAUUUGAAUCAGUCAACGACACUCUGAUUUCAAAUUUGAAUGUGUAAUUUAUUUUUAUAAGUUUAAUUAGCAUACUUCGUACAAUUCUCGCAACUGUAAAUUUAUUGAAGUAAAUAAUCAGCUUAAAUUUUGAAGUCAAAAUAUUAUUGACUAAAUCGAAUCAAACAAAUUGAAAACAUGGAUAGUAAAAUUGAAAUUUUAAAAAGUUGAAUCAAAAUAGUCCAUAGUUCAGGUGGGUUAUCUAUAUUUUUACUAAUUUUUUUUUAUUCCAAACAGCUCUUUGUCGAAAAAAAAUUCAUUAUACUAUUUCUUUUUGUUUUUCUUACAUUAUAAUAUUUUGGAAAAAUUUCAAAUACAACCACUGUGGUUUCGCAUUUUUUAUUUUAGCACACUUUGGUUU